ACCAGGGUUGGACACCCCUUCAAUGACACUUUUAUUAAUUUAUUCCUGGGUCCUCCCCUGGUACAAAAUAAUGAAGAGGAUGAUGCUCAAAGUUUUUUGCCUGCAAAAAUUUCGACCGUCCCGAAUAAAGGUUUUUUGAGAGGUAAUCAUGAAAUAUGUAUCCUCCUCUCUGCCGAAUUAAUGAUUCCAUUCUGAAUCCUUGGGGAUCUUAAUUUUCUAUUUCGGGAUGUUAUUUGUCAGUGGAAAGGCCGAAUUGAUUUUUCCUUAUGUCUGAUUUUCGAAGUAACUUCGAAGAUCACAAGUUUGGUAAUUCUUCACCUCCUUUUCGAGCUCUACCAUCUAAACAUAUAUCUGGCACUCUAUAAUUAAUUGUUAUUGGGGUUCCCCGCUUCGCGGGUCAUUCCCCUGAGUCCGGUCAGACAGCGGUCCACUUCACCCGGGAGGGCUUUACCUGGGCUGGAUCGAACCCAGUACCGCUUUGGUGUCCAGAAGAAGCAGGGGAGUUUCCGCAUGGGGGGGAAUCGAACCCGGAUGGUGGUUGCCACCACAGGCCCGUCCUGCCACUUGGACUACCUCGUCCGUCUCUUAUUUAUGUAUGUAGCAACUGGUUGCAGACAUGCAGAGGAAGACAACUGAGAGGAGAAGGAGCUGAACACUUGAAAGAAGAAUGAAUGCCACCUCACAAAUAUCUCUACUGUCCUCUCUUUGUUGAACAUGUUUGAGAUUGAUAAUUCUUCUUGGUGGUUUGAUCCUUGAGGAGGUCAGAGUCUUGGAUUAUCUGACGCUGGGUUUGGAGUGUGUGGUGUGCUUUGGUGCUUGGGUUCCAAAGUAGAGAUGGUUUGUGUAACACCCGAAUUUCUCGAAAUAAUAUAAAUGCGA